AACGAACGCUGGCGGCAGGCUUAACACAUGCAAGUCGAGCGCCCCGCAAGGGGAGCGGCAGACGGGUGAGUAACGCGUGGGAAUCUACCGUGCCCUACGGAAUAGCUCCGGGAAACUGGAAUUAAUACCGUAUACGUCCUACGGGGGAAAGAUUUAUCGGGGUAUGAUGAGCCCGCGUUGGAUUAGCUAGUUGGUGGGGUAAAGGCCUACCAAGGCGACGAUCCAUAGCUGGUCUGAGAGGAUGAUCAGCCACAUUGGGACUGAGACACGACCCAAACUCCUACGGGAGGCAGCAGUGGGGAAUAUUGGACAAUGGGCGCAAGCCUGAUCCAGCCAUGCCGCGUGAGUGAUGAAGGUCUUAGGAUUGUAAAGCUCUUUCACCGAUGAAGAUAAUGACGGUAGUCGGAGAAGAAGCCCCGGCUAACUUCGUGCCAGCCGCCGCAGUAAAAC
rnacentral:rRNA from 1 species